GGGCAAUUGACCCAUUUCAAAUAGUAACAUUUCCUUGUGUAAAAUUCUCUCCAAUCGGACUGCGGCGUUAAUCCGUUCACUCUCCGGCGAAAAAAUGGAAGCCAAUGCUCCUCAGUUUAAGCUAAUUUUGGGUUCAUCCUCUACUGCUCGGAAAAAGAUUUUAGGCGACAUGGGAUACGAGUUCACAACCAUGUCUGCAGAUAUUGAUGAGAAAGCUAUCCGGAAAGAAAAGCCUGAAGAUUUAGUUAUGGCUCUUGCUGAGGCAAAGGCCGAUGCUAUCAUAUCAAAAUUUCGAAAAACUGAAAACCCUGAGAAGGUUCUCAAUCCAACAAUUCUGGUUGCAGCUGACACAGUGGUGGUCUAUGAAGGUGUGAUCAGGGAAAAACCAUCCAGUGAAGCAGAAGCACGUCAGUUCAUGAAAGAUUACGCCAAUGGACAUGCAGCAACCGUGAGUUCUGUUCUUGUCACGAACCUGACAACAGGAAGCAGAAGAGGAGAGUGGGACAAAGUCGAGAUUUAUUUCCACGACAUACCAGAUCAAGUCAUAGAUAAACUGAUUGAGGAAGGGAUAGUUCUUUAUGCAGCUGGUGGCUUGAUAAUUGAACAUCCUCUCGUUUUGCCUUAUAUUAAGGAAGUGGUUGGCUCGACUGAUAGCGUGAUGGGUCUCCCAAAAGCUCUCACCGAAAGACUUAUAAAGGAGGUUCUUUAGUAUGACUAUGAUCCUGCUCCUACCUGAAUGAGUUCGCGAUCUAUAAUUUUGAUAUACGCUAUUGGAGCUGAAAUUAUCAUUGAUUGUUCGCACUGGAUGUGCCCUUUAAUGAAUCCUCGUUAAAAGGAUUUAGAUUGUAUUCGUUCCAAUUACCAGACUCAAUAUUGU
rnacentral:misc_RNA from 1 species